GUGGGUGUAGCUCAGUGGUUUGAGCACCUGCUUCCAAAGUAUGAGGUCCCAGGUUCAAUCCCUGGCACCUCCU
rnacentral:tRNA from 1 species